rnacentral:lncRNA from 1 species
GUUUUUGAUAUUUAUAUAUAUGUAAAUAAAUUAAUGAUGUUAUCUCCAGUUGGUGGCUUAGACAAUGUGGAUCCAUUUCAAAUGCUGGAUAAAGGUAUUCCUGAUUUUGAAAAAGUAGAAUCAAAGAAAUCUUUGCUUGAAAGAAUGCUAGAGUGUUACAAAGAAGAAACCAUGAAGCAAGAUAAAAAUA